rnacentral:rRNA from 1 species
AUUGAACGCUGGCGGCAUGCCUUACACAUGCAAGUCGAACGGCAGCAUGAUCUAGCUUGCUAGAUUGAUGGCGAGUGGCGAACGGGUGAGUAAUACAUCGGAACGUGCCCUGUAGUGGGGGAUAACUAGUCGAAAGAUUAGCUAAUACCGCAUACGACCUGAGGGUGAAAGUGGGGGACCGCAAGGCCUCAUGCUAUAGGAGCGGCCGAUGUCUGAUUAGCUAGUUGGUGAGGUAAAGGCUCACCAAGGCGACGAUCAGUAGCUGGUCUGAGAGGACGAUCAGCCACACUGGGACUGAGACACGGCCCAGACUCCUACGGGAGUCAGCAGUGGGGAAUUUUGGACAAUGGGGGCAACCCUGAUCCAGCAAUGCCGCGUGUGUGAAGAAGGCCUUCGGGUUGUAAAGCACUUUUGUCCGGAAAGAAAUCGCACUUACUAAUAUUAGGUGUGGAUGACGGUACCGGAAGAAUAAGGACCGGCUAAUUACGUGCCAGCAGCCGCCGUAAUAC